AGGCCUGAGCUGAUUCUUGAGUCACAGAGACUUUCACGGUCCGCCUGGUGAUGGGUCCCUGAGGCGUGGCAAAGCAGGACCCCUUCGUGGCAGUGCGUCGGUGUCGCGACUCCACCCUGACGUCUCCAGGAACUAGAGAGGGAUGGUCUCCGGACGCCAGGAGUCGCGGAGGGCCGACCAGGAUGAAGAAACUUCAGGCGGAGUCCCAGGAGAGCAGCGCGGGAUCCCAGCCUCAGCCUGCCCAGACGGAUCAAGACGGCCGCACCACACCCAAGGAUAGUAUUUUAAAAAGCAUCACCGGAGCUCAUUGUCCUUCUGCAGGAGAGGUGCAGACCGACCUCCAAGAAGAUGGUUCUAACUCCUCCCACCCUCUCUUCCCAUUGAGAAAUGGAGCCCCACCGUGACAGUGACACAGGCUUGGAGAAGAAGUCGAGAACGGGACGUGGCAAGGAUCUCUGUCACUCCAACGCUGGCCUUUCUGGCCAAGUCACCCGUUUGGCACUCCUUCCCGGAAGCCCAUGGCGGUGGCAUUGUGCUGUAUCCCGCCUGGGCUCUGACCUCUACACUGUCCUCCCUCUUGGUCUGUCUGCCAUGUUUCUGACGGGCCUGGAUGCUUCUUGGUCUGGCUCAGUGUCUUCCACAGAGAACACUUUUGAGUCCAUCACGGAGAAACUGCUUGGAAAUCCAUUUCGUGAUUAUUGUCAUCAUAAAUCAUCAAAAUGUCAUCUGAUAGAACAUAUUUUUCUAAGUUAAUUUACUUAUGAGACAUUUACAAGGGUAUAGAAUAAUGUACUCAGUGAAUGUAGUCGUCUCAUUUAAUCUUUGAUGUUUUAGAUGACGAUAUUUCUUUUUUUGAGACAGAGUCUCACUCUGUCACCCAGGCUGGAGUGCAAGAGGGAGAUCACAGCUCACUGCAGCCUCGACUUCCCAGGGUCAAGGGUCCUCCAACCUCAGUUUCCCAAGUAGCUGUGGCUACACGCAUGCACCACCAUAUCCGGCUUUUUGUAAAUUUUGUAGAGAUGAGGUUUUGCUGUCUUGCCCAGGCUGGUCCUGAACUCCUGGGCUCCAGCAGUCUGCCCACCUCGGCCUCCCAAAGUGCUGGGAUUACAGGCAUCAGCCAUCAAAUCUGGCUAGGAUGACUUGGUUUUCUUAUUGGCAUAUUCUAUAUUCACCAAAUAAAGUAUCUACAGUCUCAGUCCAGGUAGGGUAAGCAAAAAUAAAUAAAUAAAUAAUCUACAGUAAUUUUGCAUACUUAUAUUCUAAAUUUAGGUACAAAUCCAUAGCUUAUAUGGUCUAAUUUUAAAGUUUUUUAAACAAUAUAAGUAAUGGCCAUGUAAAUCUUUUCAUAGCUUUUUUAAAUUAAAAUAGAUUUGAAAGUAUACCUAAAUCAUUUUGGGUUUUUUUGUUUCUGUUUUUGUUUUUUGUUUCUGCAGUGCAGUGGCGUGAUCUCGGCUCACUGGAACCCCUGCCUCCCAGGUUCAAGCAAUUCUCUGCUUCAGCCUCCCCAGUAGCGAGGAUUACAGGCGCCCGCCACCAUGCCCAGCUAAUUUUUUUUUUUUUUUGUAUUUUUUAGUAGAGACGGGAUUUCACCAUCUUGGCCAGGCUGGCCUUGAACUCCUGACCUCAUGAUCUACCUGACUCGGCCUCCCAAAGUGGUGGGAUUACAGGCGUGAGCCACCACUCCCAGCCCCUAAAUCUUAAAAAUAUAAAGAGACAUUUUUUUAAAAAUCAGUUUUAAAUGAGUUAAGCAUUACAUUUCCAGUUGUUUAUAUUUCAAUGAGGACUGACUGAAUUGUAUUUUUUAAAAAAACCAUCUGGCCAGGCGCAGUGGCUCACGCCUGUAAUCCCAGCACUUUGGGAGGCCGAGGCAGGUGGAUCAUCUGAAGUCGGGAGUUCGAGACCAGCCUGACCAACAUGGGGAAACCCCAUCUCUACUAAAAAUACAAAAUAUUAGAUGGGCAUGGUGGUGCAUGCCUGUAAUCCCAGCUUCUUGGGAGGCUGAGGUAGGGGAAUCACUUGAACCUGGGAGGUAGAGGUUGCGGUGAGCCAAGAUCAAGCCAUUGCACUCCAGCCUGGGCAACAAAAGUGAAACUCCAUCUCAGAAAAAAACAAAAACAAAAACAACAAAAUCUCCAUGUAGCCUUGAAUUAGUAACACAUCUAUCUUUUCUUUGAUGUGGUGUCUACUUCUCUUCACAGAAAGUUUGCAUUCUUUUCUAUUAGUAGUGAAAGAGAUGCUGUACAUGACAGUCUCAUCUUUUAUUCAAAUGGAAAGAUUAUCAAACUAUUUCUGAAGACAAUGCUUUUAAAUAUUAUUUAUAUAUUAAUCUUUUAAGUAAACAAUUUCUAUCUUAUUCCCUA